UACAGAGGUCUCAAGCGUUGUUCGGAUUCAUUGGGCGUAAAGGGUGCGUAGGUGGCGCCGUAAGUCGGGUGUGAAAUUUCGAGGCUUAACCUCGAAACUGCAUUCGAUACUGCGGUGCUUGAGGACUGGAGAGGGGACUGGAAUUCAUGGUGUAGCAGUGAAAUGCGUAGAGAUCAUGAGGAAGACCAGUGGCGAAGGCGGGUCUCUGGACAGUUCCUGACACUGAGGCACGAAGGCCAGGGGAGCAAACGGG
rnacentral:rRNA from 1 species